GACGAACGCUGGCGGCGCGCCUAACACAUGCAAGUCGAACGAGCGAGAGAGAGCUUGCUUUCUCAAGCGAGUGGCGAACUGGUGAGUAACGCGUGAGGAACCUGCCUCAAAUAGUGGGACAACAGUUGGAAACGACUGCUAAUACCGCAUAAGCCCACAGCUCGGCAUCGACCAUAGGGAAAAGGAGCAAUCCGCUUUGUGAUGGCCUCGCGUCCGAUUAGCUAGUUGGUGAGGUAACGGCCCACCAAGGCAACGAUCGGUAGCCGGAAUGAGAGGUUGAACGGGCACAAUGGGAAUGAGACACGGCACAGAAUACUACGGGAGGAAGGAGAGGGGAAUAUAGAAAAAAGGGGGAAAGCAAGAAGCAGCGACGCGGCGUGGAGGAAGAAGGUAUUCGGAAAGAAAACUAGUGUUGUUGAGGAAGAUAAUGACGGUACUCAACAAGGAAGUGACGGCUAACUACGUG
rnacentral:rRNA from 1 species